AGCAGCCGCGGUAAUUCCAGCUCCAAUAGCGUAUAUUAAAGUUGCUGCAGUUAAAAAGCUCGUAGUUGAAUUUCGGGAUCAAUAUGUUGGUCGUGCCUCGGUACGUACUAGCUUAUUGGUUUCUCCCUUCUGACGAACCAUGAUGUCAUUUAUUUGGUGUUAUGGGAAAUCAGGACUGUUACUUUAGAAAAAUUAGAGUGUUUAAAGCAGGCUCACGCUUGAAUACAUUAGCAUGGAAUAAUGAAAUAGGACGUUUGAUUCUAUUUUGUUGGUUUCUAGGAUCGACGUAAUGAUUAAUAGGGAUAGUUGGGGGCAUUAGUAUUCAAUUGUCAGAGGUGAAAUUCUUGGAUUUAUUGAAGACUAACUACUGCGAAAGCAUUUGCCAAGGAUGUUUUCAUUAAUCAAGAACGAAAGUUAGGGGAUCGAAGACGAUCAGAUACCGUCGUAGUCUUAACCAUAAACUAUGCCGACUAGGGAUCGGAUGAUGUUAAUUUUUA
rnacentral:rRNA from 1 species